rnacentral:sRNA from 1 species
UUUUAGCCCUGAUGGAAGCGGCAUCCUUUUUCCUGCUCCUUUAGCAGGAAAAAGAUAUAGCGGACAGCAGGAUUAGCU